UAAUACAGAGGUCCCAAGCGUUGUUCGGAUUCACUGGGCGUAAAGGGUGCGUAGGCGGCCGGGUAAGUCUGAUGUGAAAUCCCGCAGCUUAACUGCGGAACUGCAUCGGAUACUCUCCGGCUAGAGGAAUGGAGGGGAGACUGGAAUUCUCGGUGUAGCAGUGAAAUGCGUAGAUAUCGAGAGGAACACCAGUGGCGAAGGCGAGUCUCUGGACAUUUCCUAACGCUGAGGCACGAAAGCCAGGGGAGCAAACGGGAUUAGAUACCCCGGUAGUCCUGGCCCUAAACGGUGCACGUUUGCUGUAAGAGGAAUCGACCCCUUUUGUGGCGAAGCUAACGCGUUAAACGUGCCGCCUGGGAAGUACGGCCGCAAGGUUA
rnacentral:rRNA from 1 species